rnacentral:lncRNA from 10 species
AAGCAAAUUUGAAGAAUAUGUUAUAGUUGGUUUAAACUGGCUUCAAGCAGUCAUUAAAAGGUGGUGGUCAGAACUAUCAUCCAAAACAGAAAUUAUAAAUGAUGGAAAUAUUCAAAUUUUAAAACAACAAUUAAGUGGAUUAUGGGAACAGGAAAACCAUCUUACUUUGGUUCCAGGAUAUACUGGUAAUAUAGCUAAGAAAUUGAAAGAAGAGGGCCGGGCAAGGUGGCUCAUGCCUGUAAUCCCAGUACUUUGGGAGGCCAAGGUGGGCAGAUCACGAGCUCAGGAGAUCGAGACCAUCCCGGCCAACAUGGUGAAACCCCAUCUCUACUAAAACACAAAAAAUUAGCCGGGCGUGGUGGUGCACACCUGUAGUCCCAGCUACUUGGGAGGCUGAGGCUGGAGAAUCACUUGAACCCUGGAGGUGGAGGUUGCAGAGAGCCAAGAUCACGCCACUGCACUUCAGCCUGGUGACAGAGCAAGACUCUGUCUCAAAAAAAAGAGAAAGAAAUUGAAAGAGGCUAUUGUCAAGCUGGGCUCAAGUGAAUAUAGCAC